CCUACGGGAGGCAGCAGUGGGGAAUAUUGCACAAUGGGGGAAACCCUGAUGCAGCGACGCCGCGUGAGUGAAGAAGUAUUUCGGUACGUAAAGCUCUAUCAGCAGGGAAGAAAAAAAGUCCUUUGGACUUUGGACGGUACCUGACCAAGAAGCCCCGACUAACUUCGUGCCAGCAUCCGCGGUAAUACGUAGGGGGCAAGCGUUAUCCGGAUUUACUGGGUGUAAAGGGAGCGUAGACGGCAGCGCAAGUCUGGAGUGAAAUGCCGGGGCCCAACCCCGGAACUGCUUUGGAAACUGUGCAGCUGGAGUGCAGGAGAGGUAAGCGGAAUUCCUAGUGUAGAGGUGAAAUGCGUAGAUAUUAGGAGGAACACCAGUGGCGAAGGCGGCUUACUGGACUGUAACUGACGUUGAGGCUCGAAAGCGUGGGGAGCAAACAGGAUUAGAUACCCGGGUAGUC
rnacentral:rRNA from 1 species